rnacentral:rRNA from 1 species
UACGGAGGAUCCGAGCGUUAUCCGGAUUUACUGGGUUUAAAGGGUGCGUAGGCGGGUGGCUCAGUCGGCGGUGAAAUGCAGCGGCUCAACCGUUGCCCUGCCGUCGAAACUGGCCGCCUUGAAUUCGGUCGAGGCCGGCGGAAUGCGCGGUGUAGCGGUGAAAUGCUUAGAUAUCGCGCGGAACGCCGAUUGCGGAGGCAGCUGGCUGGACCGAGAUUGACGCUGAUGCACGACAGCGUGGGGAUCGAACAGGAUUAGAAACCCUAGUAGUCC